ensembl:miRNA
GCAGUGCCUUACUCAGAAAGGUGCCAGUAACUUACACUACAUGUGACUGUGUCCUUUCUGCGUAGAGUAAGGCUC